rnacentral:lncRNA from 1 species
GGAAUUGGAGCCUGAGUGCAGACCAGCCCCACCCAGUGCAAACAGAACGUGAGCUAUGCGUGUAAUUUUAAACCUCUUCGUAGCCACAUUUAAAAAAGGAAAAAGAAACAAGUGAGAUUAAUUUUAUCAAUAGAUUGUAUCUAACCCAAUACAUACAAAAUAUUAUGACUCCCACAUGUAAUCAAUAUACAAGUUAUUAGUGAGAUAGUUUGUAUUCUUUUCCGUACUAAGUCUUUAAAAUCUGGCAUGUAUUUUACCUUUAUGACACAUUGACACAUCACCGUCUGGCUGGCCACAUUCCAGGUGCUCAAUAGCCACAAGUAGCUAGUGGCUACUGUGUUGGACAGAAGACAAUUCUUUCAAUGAGUUUCGGGAUAAAUGGAAGGGAAAAACGAGAUCAGAAGGUGGGAAAAGAAGUAGGAGUGAGGUUUUUUGGUUGUUUUUGUUUUAAUGAAAGGAAUAGUAACAUGUCUACAUGUUGACAGAUUUGGCUGAGAGUCUACGGAAGGAGCUGUGAGAUCUCCCACUCCCUCUCUGGUCUAUUUUUCUAACCGACGUGGCAAGUGUCUCCCCCACCCAGCAGGAGACUGGCUGUUUCUUCUAUGGACAGAGCUGAAACGCUCAGGCCCAGGGACCCUGGCCCCGAGGAAGGUGAGAGAGAGGCCUCAUGCUGGAAACAGGAUGAAACCGAAGCCCGUGUGCUAACGGAGAGAGGCUGCUGGAGCCGAAACAUCUUCAGUCUGACCUUGCCGCAGCCAGAGAGAAACACUGUCUGACAACCCCCCAGACAGGUCACCUGCUCAUGUCUGAAUGUAGUCCACAUUAACAGCCACAGAGCAGCCUGAAAUUCAUGACGAGGAGACCCGAAGCCCUCUCCCAUUAGUCGGCCCUGAUGGCGACGUGGCUGGCGGGCGUCUCUUUGCCUUCCCUUCCCGGCUAACUGAGUCAGCGAGGUCCGGAGCCCUGCCCGUCUCGGGUCGGUUAGAAGCCCGUCAACGGGACUGCAGGCUGGGAAAUCAGCGGAAGGUCUGCCCAGGAUUUCAGAUGCUUGGAGCACCCAAGCUUGGUGUGUGGUGAGCCCGCAGACAUGGUGGCGGUUAUUAAUGUUACCAUGUACGCCCCCUGCAGUGGGCAUGGCCCCGUGAGGGGUUAAGGGUGGGGUUUGGGCUCAGCCUGUCUUCAGCUGUGUCACCUUAUGUGCCUUUCCUGACAUCUCUUGGUUCCCUCUAUAGAGUGUCCAUGCUUUACUGAGUUGUGAAGGCAAAAACAAGCCGUCUGUGUGAGAUGCCUGGCAGUGUGCCUGGCUCAGAGUAAACUCAAUAAAUGCCAACUGCAUCUAUUUAGGGUAAGCGGC